GAUCAUGGCUCAGGAUGAACGCUGGCGGCGUGCCUAACACAUGCAAGUCGAACGGACUUUUCAUGAAGCCUAGCGAUUGAAAAGUUAGUGGCGGACGGGUGGGUAACGCGUGGGUAACCUGCCUUGUACUGGGGGACAACAGUUGGAAACGACUGCUAAUACCGCAUAAGCGCACAGCUUCGCAUGAAGCAGUGUGAAAAACUCCGGUGGUACAAGAUGGACCCGCGUCUGAUUAGCUGG
rnacentral:rRNA from 1 species